rnacentral:rRNA from 7 species
CCUGGCGGCCGUAGCGCGGUGGUCCCACCUGACCCCAUGCCGAACUCAGAAGUGAAACGCCGUAGCGCCGAUGGUAGUGUGGGGUCUCCCCAUGCGAGAGUAG